rnacentral:rRNA from 1 species
CCUACGGGAGGCAGCAGUGAGGAAUAUUGGUCAAUGGCCGGAAGGCUGAACCAGCAAAGUCGCGUGAAGGAAGAAGGAUCUAUGGUUUGCAAACUUCUUUUAUAGGGGAAUAAAGGUAUCCACGUGUGGAUAUUUGCAUGUACUCUAUGAAAAAGCAUCGGCUAACUCAGUGCCAGCAGCCGCGGUAAUACGGAGGAUGCGAGCGUUAUCCGGAUUUAUUGGGUUUAAAGGGUGCGUAGGGUGUAUGUUAAGUCAGCGGUGAAAGUCUGUGGCUCAACCAUAGAAGUGCCGUUGAAACUGGAAGACUUGAGUGUUGUUGAGGUAGGCGGAAUGCGAGGUGUAGCGGUGAAAUGCAUAGAUAUCACGCAGAACUCCGAUUGCGAAGGCAGCUUACUAGUCCAUAACUGACGCUGACGCACGAAAGCGUGGGUAUCAAACAGGAUUAGAUACCCCUGUAGUC